rnacentral:rRNA from 1 species
AGGACGAACGCUGGCGGCGCGCUUAACACAUGCAAGUCGAGCGAGAACCGGGGCUUCGGCCCUGGGGACAGCGGCGAACGGGUGAGUAACACGUGGGUAAUCAACCCUCGGCACCGGGAUAGCCCGGGAAACUGGGUCUAAAUACCGGAUAUGACCACUGAUCACAUGGUUGGUGGUGGAAAGUUUUUCGGUCAGGGAUGGGCUCGCGGCCUAUCAGCUUGUUGGUGGGGUAGUGGCCUACCAAGGCGACGACGGGUA